AUACGGAGGGUGCAAGCGUUAAUCGGAAUUACUGGGCGUAAAGCGCGCGUAGGCGGCUGAUUAAGUCGGAUGUGAAAUCCCUGGGCUCAACCUAGGAACUGCAUCCGAUACUGGUCGGCUAGAGUUUUGGAGAGGUAAGUGGAAUUUCCGGUGUAGCGGUGAAAUGCAUAGAGAUCGGAAGGAACACCAGUGGCGAAGGCGACUUACUGGCCAAAAACUGACGCUGAGGUGCGAAAGCGUGGGUAGCGAACAGGAUUAGAAACCCUAGUAGUCC
rnacentral:rRNA from 1 species